CCUACGGGAGGCUGCAGUGAGGAAUAUUGGUCAAUGGCCGAGAGUCUGAACCAGCCAAGUAGCGUGAAGGACGACUGCCCUAUGGGUUGUAAACCUCUUUUAUAUGGGAAGAAUAAGUUCUACGUGUAGCAUGAUGUCUGUACCUUAUGAAUAAGCAUCGGCUAACUCCGUGCCAGCAGCCGCGGUAAUACGGAGGAUCCGAGCGUUAUCCGGAUUUAUUGGGUUUAAAGGGUGCGUAGGCGGUUUUUUAAGGCUGUUGUUAAAGCUUGCGGCUCACCCGUAAAAUUGCAGUUGAAACUGGCAGUCUUGAGUACAGUAGAGGUAGGCGGAAUAAGUUGAGUAGCGGUGAAAUGCUUAGAUAUCACGAAGAACUCCGAUUGCGAAGGCAGCUCACUGGACUGCGACUGACGCUGAGGCUCGAGAGUGUGGGUAGCGAACAGGAUUAGAUACCCUGGUAGUC
rnacentral:rRNA from 1 species